UCAAGUUUAGAAGGGCAUACGGCGGAUGCCUAGGCGUUUCGAAACGAAGAAGGACGCGAUAAGCUGCGAUAAGCCAUGACGAGCUGCAAGUAAGCCUUGACUCAUGGAUUUCCGAAUGGGGCAACCCGGCAAGAGUAACGUCUUGUCACUCUACCUUCGAGGUAGAGAGAAAACACCCGAUGAACUGAAACAUCUAAGUAGUCGGAGGAAAAGAAAUCAAAGAGAUUCCCUGAGUAGCGGCGAGCGAAACGGGAAGAGCCCAAACCAAGAGACUUCGGUUUCUUGGGGUUGCGGACCUGCAACAAACUGGACACUUUAGUGGAAGCAUCUGGGAAGGUGCGGCAAAGAGAGUGAGACCCUCGUACACGAAAGAGUGAAAGGCGGGCAGGGAUCCAGAGUACCACAGGGCACGAGGAACCCAGUGGGAAGCAGGGUGGACCACCAUCCAAGGCUAAAUACAUCGAAACGACCGAUAGUGAAAAGUACCGUGAGGGAAAGGUGAAAAGAACCCCGGGAGGGGAGUGCAAAAGAACCUGAAACCGUAUGUCUACAAACAGUCGGAGCACAAUUUAACGUGCGACGGCGUGCCUAUUGAAGAAUGAACCGGCGAGUUAAUUUAUGCUGCGAGGUUAAGCAGAAGAUGCGGAGCCGAAGCGAAAGCGAGUCUUAAGAGGGCGAUGAGUAGCAUGGAUUAGACCCGAAACCACAGUGAUCUAUGCAUGUCCAGGUUGAAGCUCAGGUAAAAAUGAGUGGAGGACCGAACCCGUGCGUGUUGAAAAACGUUGGGAUGAGGUGUGCAUAGGGGUGAAAUGCCAAUCGAACGUGGAGAUAGCUGGUUCUCCCCGAAAUAGCUUUAGGGCUAGCCUCAGGCGAAUCACCAUAGAGACGGUAGAGCACUGAUCGGGCAAGGGGGCGUAAAGCCUACCGACCCCAGUCAAACUACGAAUGGCUCAUAUGGGCAGCCUGGGAGUCAGAAUGCGAGUGAUAAGACCCGUAUUCAAGAGGGAAACAGCCCAGACCGCCGGCUAAGGUCCCAAAUGCUGUGCUAAGUGGAAAAGGAUGUAGGACUUCGAAAACAACCAGGAUGUUGGCUCAGAAGCAGCCACCAUUAAAAGAGUGCGUAAUAGCUCACUGGUCGAGAGGCCCUGCGCCGAAAAUAUCCGGGGCUAAAGCACAGAACCGAAGCCGCGGCAGGGGUGCACAUGUUCACAGAGCGCUCAAAGCGCAGGAAAAAUUGGUAUCUGCAAGGAAACGGAGAGCGUCGUAGCAGCGCUACGGCAAACGACGUUGACACAGCAGAGAGCAAUUUUAACAAGCUUUUUGAGCGUUGUGCUGAUGUGUACACACUGGGUAGGGGAGCGUUCUUAUCUGGACGAAGGCAGACCGGAAGGACUGCUGGACGGGUAAGAAGUGAGAAUGCCGGUAUGAGUAGCGAAACGACAGGUGAGAAUCCUGUCCACCGAAAGCCUAAGGGAUCCUGGGCAACGCUCGUCGCCCCAGGGUAAGUCGGGACCUAAGCCGAGGCGAAAAGCAUAGGCGAUGGACAACUGGCGAAAAUUCCAGUACCGGGCGUCUUCGUUUAAGGAUGGAGUGACGCAGGAAGGAAGCUGAGCGCGCGAAUGGUUGGGCGCGUCGAAGGCGGUAGGCUUGUAUGGAGGCAAAUCCCCAUACUAUAAGGCCGAGAACCGAUAGAUAGGAAAGACUACGGUCAAUCUGAAUUCAGCUGCACUACACUGCCAAGAAAAGCUUCUAACGAGAAGACGUCCGCCCGUACCAAAACCGACACAGGUAGGCGGGGAGAGAAUCCUAAGGUGCGCGGGAAAACCCUCGUUAAGGAACUCGGCAAAAUGCAUCCGUAACUUCGGGAAAAGGAUGGCCGUAGCUGGUGAAGCUUUUUACAAGUGGAGCUGGAGACGGCGGCAGAAAAGAGGCCCAAGCGACUGUUUACCACAAACACAGGUGCCUGCGAAAGCGCAAGCUGAAGUAUAGGUGCUGACGCCUGCCCGGUGCAGGAAGGUUAAGGAGAGUUGUUAGUCCUUGAGAUGAAGCAGCGAACUGAAGCCCCUGUAAACGGCGGCCGUAACUAUAACGGUCCUAAGGUAGCGAAAUUCCUUGUCGGGU
rnacentral:rRNA from 1 species